rnacentral:misc_RNA from 1 species
GAGAGCAAGCUAGCCACCUAGAAAUUAAGGUUGUGUUUUAUCUCUGUCGCUCGCGCGUGGUGGCCGUCGGAGCGCGAAUGGGAUGUCAAAUGCAAUUUCGGCCAUCAUAACCAUCUUUUCUUUCUUGUGCAACUGUUUCUCUUCGGCCGUGUUCUAGUGCAAACGCAGGAUGGACGCCAUUCGCGCGAGAUAAGUUUUCCGUUCGCUGGAGAAGCGAUAGUGACAAGUGCAUACGCUGCGUGCCGGGUUUGGAGCUAUGCUAUAGUGGUGUGGUCGUGUCGGUGAUCGGCCUGGCGCCUGGUUCAUUGUGGAGUGGUGCGGCGGCGUGUGGAAGGCCCGCGCGGGAGCUCCGCGGCAGGCAUGGCGGGCGCGAGCUGAGCGGCCCUGGCGUGUGGCGCUCCGCCGCCGGCCCGAUGAGCGGGGCAGGCUUCCUACGGCGGAGGUUAUUUUAUGGGUAUUUGCGUGAGCUGCCGGCGCCGCGACCUGCAGGCUCCCGAAAAACGGGCUGGGGGCGCGGGCGGAGGCCGAGUGCCCGGUAAGGGCGCCACGGCCGAGCUGCUCCCGCGCCGUGCGGACCCCGCCAUGGCCAACUCCAUAUCCAACAUCAAGAUGACCAACCCUAUCAAGGGCAUCGUCAGCAAGCGCCGGAAACGGUACAUCAAGGACGGCUUCAACCUGGACUUAGCCUACAUAACAGACAGGCUGAUAGCGAUGGGAUUCCCCGCGGAGAAGCUGGAAGGAGUCUACAGAAACCACAUUGACGAGGUGUACAGGUUCCUGGAACAGAUGCACAAGGAUCACUACAAGAUAUACAACCUCUGCUCGGAGAGGUGCUACGACUCUAGCAAGUUCCACGGGCGGGUGGAACGAUACGCGUUCGAGGACCACACGCCGCCGAAGAUGGAGCUGAUACAGCCGUUUUGUGAGGACGUGCACAACUGGCUGAGUCUCGACCCGCGCAACGUAGCCGCCGUGCACUGCAAAGCGGGGAAGGGCCGCACCGGUACCAUGGUGUGCUGCUAUCUAUUAUAUAGCGGGCAAAAAGCUACAGCGGACGAAGCCCUCAAAUUCUACGGAACUAAAAGAACGCACGACGAAAAAGGCGUGACGAUUCCGUCACAGCGUCGCUACGUGGAAUACUACGCGGCUUUAGUCCGCUCGGGGCUCCAGUACCGAGCCCCGCGCCUGCACAUCCGCGAGCUGCUGAUGUGGCCGCCGCCGCACAACAACGGGACGUCGCACACGCUCGAGCUGGCCGUAAGCCAGGCCGAGCCACCGCUUAAGGCGCCAGCCGGCUCCCACGAAGUCCGUCGCCAUGAGAGCCACAUCCGCGUCGUCCUCGACCAGUGCACACCGCUACACGGGGACGUGCGCGUCGACGUGUACAACAAGCCCAAGAUGAUGAUGCGCAAGGAGAAGCUCUUCCACUUCUGGUUCAACACAUUCUUCGUGGCCAACUGCGUCGGCGCUGUCAGGAUACCGCCGCCCGCUGACAGCAUGAACCUCGAGACGUAUAAGCUGACGUUGAACAAGUGGCAGCUGGACGACGCGCACAAGGACAAGCAGCACAAGCUGUACAGUCCCGACUUCAAGGUGGAGCUGGUGGUGCAGAAGCAGCCGGACAGCUCGCGGUUCAGCGCGUGCGCGCGCGCGCCCGCCUCCCCCCCCUCGUCCCCCUCCAGCGACGACGACCACGACAGCCACUGGGACUCCGGUGAGCACUAUCCCCUCCCCGCCGCCCGCAUGGACGUCGACCACGUCUUCCAGCCCUUCCAGGCGGACCUGCCGGACCUGCCCGACCUGCUGGACUCCCGGAACAAAAAAUGCAAGCACCGGGUCCCGCUCGACGGGCCCGGCAUCUUCACCCGAGACGGAUACAUGUUGAUAGACAGAUCGAGGCCGCAGAAGGACUUUCUGCGCCUCUCCGAUCCGCAGGGGCACAAGUGUGACGCGGAAGUAGGUAAAUGUACCCGGUUGUCGGAUCCUACCGGCUCCCGGAAAGGGAAACAUAUGGGGACGGUCACCAAGGACGGGUAUAUGUUAGUGGACGCGACCCCCCGCCAGCCGCACCUCCGACCCGCCGAGCAUAAAAUAGUGAACGAAGCCACGGGGCUCCUCGCCUCGAACGUCGUCAGCAACGCCGAAGACGACUAUAUGGAGUUUUCGGCCACCGACGGCCAGAUGAAACCCGUCGAAGUAGAGUCGAAAAUGUCGACCUUCAACGAGGAUUACUACUUGUGUUCCGAAGUCAUGUCGAGCGCGAGGAGCGACCCUUGCGACGUGAAAAGCGGACAAUUAAACGAUAUAGAUAGUAAAUCGUCCGACGACAGUUCGGAAGCGAUUCAACUCGACUCGAAUUCGAGUCAAGCCAAAACCGAUAAAUCUGGCAAGAAUAAGAAACAUUCGUUUUUCAAAAGGGACGAUUAUAAAAACGAUAAGGGUAAAAUACCUAAAGUGUCUUCGGAUCAUACGAUAUCGGACGAUUCGAAGAAAAAGUACACGUUCUUCCAAAAGCGAGACGACGAAGGUACGAAACCUCGGCUCUCUCUCGGAGAUAUGAGGGCCUCUUGGAGGGAAUUUAGCGGCAAAUGGUCGGAGAACAGAAAGAAAAAGGACAGAGAAGAUUCUUGAGUAGUGUCUUGAGAGAAAGGGACUCUUAACAGGUUAGAUGGACUGAUGAUGAAGUGCCGAUAAAAAGUCGCAUUAGGACCUGUACAACUCAAAAAUCGUUAUAAAGUAGGAUACACAUGUGCGGUUAUAAUGUUGUAGUUGUUGAGUGAAUUCUCGGCUUAGGCCGCUUUUGAGCGGUCUAUAACAUUACUAGGGGUAUUCCUAAGUUUACGUCGAGUGCUAAAUCUUUGGAGGACGUUACAUAUACAGGCCAUUUAAAGAUAAAUGUAAUGAGUUUUUCUAAAGAAUUUAGAUGAUGCAUAUUGGUGCUGAUUACAGUAAAUACCAUCCGAGUUUAUUUUAAUCUAUAUCUGUCAUUAUCUUAUCCGCCGAAAAGGAAAGGGACGUGAAAUCGACAGGCAUAAAAUUUAUAGAACACAUGUCAAUUUAAGGCAGAAAUUUAAAAAAACCAUUGGCCAAUAUCCCGACAGAAUUAAGUUGACAGUACACGUCAAACGGAGUGCAUAUGAGCGAGAUGGCUAUUUUAUUUGCCCGUUAUCCGUCCCUUUUCUAUUUGGCGGAUAAGAAAACGACAGGUAUAAAUUAAAAUAAAAUUAAGUGUGCAGGAAUCGGGGCCUAUAAUGCGAUUUUUUUCUUAUGUUUGGAUUUUGUACCGCAAAAUAUCCGUUGCAUACAGUGUAGACACAAUAUAAUGUUACUAAUAUAACAAGUACGAGAGAGAGAGCAUCAUCGUUCUUUCUCACUCACACUCGUGUAACGCGCGUUUUCGAGAUACAAUAGUGUCUUCAGCACAAUACAUACAAAAUUAAUUCUAUAUCAUUUAAAUUGUAGUUUUAAAUGGUCGUAUGUUGUAACGUUCGCCUCAUUAGGUUCUAUUUAGUUAACGAUUUAGAUAAUGGGUCUUUGUUUGUGUGCAGCCGAUAUGUUGAUUUAUAAACGCUGGUGAUUUUGAUAAUAAUGGCUCUGACAAAUUUUCAAAAUAUCUCAAUUUUUACUAUUUAAAAGUCGAACGUGUUACAGAAAGCUUUAAUUUGUAAUUAAAUAAAAGUAUCUUGCAAAAAAAGUCGACACGAAAGGGAAAUCGACAAAUUGGUUAUUCACACACACUUCAGUGUGAUAUAUGUUCGGAAUUGGGGUAGGCAGAAGUACAGUAAUCAUGUUGAAUUAUGUACCCACGCCUCACCGAGCUUUCUAUCAGACCAACACUACUGGUACUGUAGUGUUUUCUGCAAAUUGUCGGUACAUAAUGAUUUUAACUCUUAACAUUUUCGGAAACUUCUACUGAGUUUUAACACAGUGUUACAUGGUUCAAUAAACUUCGAAUGUACGAAUAGUCUGCAAUUUUUUCAAUACUAUUUAUUAAAAUCACCUAUUUUCUAAAUCAAUCAAUCGGUGGCAAUACAAGACCAACUGGGCUGCAAAGUCCAUGUAUAAUGUAUAUAAAUAGUUUACUUAGAUACAGUUAUAUAUUUCGUUAGAGGGGAGGCGAGCUAGACACGUACUUGAUCUCUCGAAGCUGAUAGCGACAUAGGAACACGACGAAAUGCCUGUUUUUCGCAUCCGGGUCAACCAGAGUGCACGCUAUUUACGUAAAUACGACAUGUAUCGCGAUGGUUGAUGUAAAGAAUCAGCGUAUGCUGCCUAAAGCGUGUGUAAUGUAGAAGCGGUGUACGUGGAUUUCUAUCGAAGCGGAGCGAAGCGAAGAUGUGCUGUAUUCGACUCAACCACCGUGGGGGGAGACCGACAGAGCGUCUUCUCUCUCACUCUCUCGCACACUGUGGUUGGUGGAUUUGGGAUGUCUCCGCUCCGCUCCGCUUCAAUAGAAAUGCACUCUAAGGCACAGAGUAAAAGGUACUUUCCACGUAAACAGCACGUCAUGCGCAUCCUAUUGUCAACUGGCGAUUGCUUGCAUCUUCAGAACGGCAACACCGCAAGGCGAACGCAUGACGAUUCGGAGAUGCGACGUUGCCGUUCCGAAGAUGCAAGCUAUCGACAAUUAUUGGCGACAGCGUGCGCAUUUCAUGCGGUUUACGUGGACAGUAGGCCUAAGUAGAUAAACACGCAGCGUCUAUUGGUCGAAGCUUGCGACAUGUAUCGCGUCUACUUCAGUAGCGAGCGCUUUACUGCCGGGGCAAAUACAGGCAUUAUGACCUUAUAGGUCAUUAUGAUACGUAUACGCAUGCGGGCUAAUUUGCAUGACACUAAACCGGCACUAGAUGCGAAAGUGUUCAAAGACAUGCCUUGAAUCUUUGUGAUAUCCUUGUUAACAGCACAAGCGAAUUUAGGCGACUUUCAGUUCAUUUGUCAUAGUGUUAGGGAAAAUUCGACAUCAACUAUGAUAGAUAUUUUUACUCAGAACGAAAGUUUUUGUAGGAUAUUUCUGUCUAAAAAAAGUGUCUUCGCUAAGCGUUUUCUUAGGCAUACUUCUUAAAUGAAAGUUUGGAUGUCGAAAGAAAUCCUAUAUUUUAAACAAUUAUCGAAUACGUAGAAAUUAGAUCUGUUGAAACGUUGAAAGGAACGAUUGUUGUGGGUGAACAGGUGUGGUGAUAUUUUUUUAAUAAGAAUAGAAAAUGACUCUUGAAUAAGCUACGGAGAGUAAUUUGUGACCUAUUCAUAACACCGUAAUUUUAUUUUCGACUGAUCUUUCAUCACGGUGUAUCGUCAAGCGUACUUACAUUCUAUUUUUAUGGGAUUUCUUAAAUAUCUGAUUAUUUAAUUCAAAAUUGGAGCCGAUUCUAGCUUUUACCAAAAAUUUACUUUUACUUUUUUAUAAAAUUUUCAAUUCAUUUUGCACUACGUUCGAUAACCAUAUAUCAAAUCAUAAAUAUUUACGAAUCGAAACAUUUAUUUCAAAUGAAUAUUUUAUCUAAUAUUAAAUGAAUUUGUGAAAGCCAUUCUCAAUUUAAAUUUUCUUCGACAAUUCUAAAAGUAGCUCUAUCCCUUUCUUACAUUCAUUGUAUGUGAAUGAAGACGCUAUUUUUAGAGCUGUUAGACUUAAAAAAAGUUUUGUCUCCUGCAAUCGGCGCAAUGAUCAGCAUAAUUAAGGAAUUCUAUUCUCAUAGAGUGUAUUUAACCAGACGCGUCCCUGGCGUUAGUGGACUAUUGAGAGCAUACAUAUUAUGUCAUUCCCGUUAACCCGUUAAUAGACAUUCGCUUUCAUAGAUAUUCUUUAAUUUCUAGUAUCGUGCAAUUCUCAAACGGAAAAUUAAAUCGAAAAAAAAAACUGACUCGAACUCUCUUAGUGAGUUUCCCUAACCACAGAUGAGUAAAAAAUCGUGUAAUUCUGUUAGUCAGUUUUGACUGAUGAUGAAGAAUAAUAAUAGUAUUUAUUAUAACACUUUAUUGCACAUACAUUCACAAGACAUUUACAGGAAAACUCGAAAUAAUUUAAUGAUUCUAAAUAUAAAUAUACCUUUAUAGUUUCAAGCACAGAAUAAUGUAACUAAUAGAUUUUCGUGGAAUUCUAAGCUUUUUUCUAUCGUGUGGGUUGUAAGGUCAACGGCCGACCUCACCCUGGUGUCAGGUUAUUCUCACUCGCCAUCACACGAGUCAGUCAACAGAUUUGUGACACCAAACAAAUAAUUUGGAUUCAUUCCAAAGAGGAAGCGAAGUUUAUCGACACGAAAAAGAUUUUUUUGUAACAUCUACUUCUUAUGACAAUAAAAUUUGAGAGAAAGAGCCAAGAUAUUAUCCGGUAUUAUUAGAUCUACCAAAGUACAGAAGGCAGUGUUGUGACGUUCUUUAGUACAGUGAUGUAUCAGUCCAUGGUAUAAGAAAACCAGGUAUGCUCAAAAAUGACAGCUAAUAUGUCAAGGUUAGCCCAGCUGGCGUCAUUCAUUCCACUAUGCGUUGCCAUUUUGUAAAAAAAUUAAUUACCCACGACCAAUGUAUGUUGUUUUAUAUUUACAAGGAUAUUUUGAACUUUUAGUAAAAGAUUUACUUACAGUUUUAAUUAUUACAUUGGUGCUAAUUCCUGUAAAUACCAUCUAAUUUUAUUUUAAGUUAUAUCUGUCAUUUUCUUAUCCGCCGAAAAGGAAAAGGACGGGUAAUCGACAAGCAUAAAAUUUAUGGAACACACGUCAAUUUUAAGCACAAAUCUAAACCAACCGUCUAAAAAUUUUACAUCCGUCAAUAACCCGAUACAGUUAAGUAGACAGCACGUCAAACGGAUUGCAUACCAGCGACGUACCUUUUGAUUCGCCCGGGUUAUUCAUUCAUUUACUCAUUCUUCCUAAAAUUAAGAGCUGUGAAUCAUCCGUCCCUUUCCUUUUCGACGGAUAUGAAAAUGACGGAUAUAACUUAAAAUAAAAUUAGGCGGUGUCUGCAGGAAUCGGGGCCAUUAUAUCAGUAAUUCACUUAACUUUCAAUAAUAAAAUUUACAUCCUUGGAAUGUUGGAGAUACCAAUUUAAUGGUAACACAUACGUCAUUAAUGAGCUAGUAAUGGCGGCUUGUCAUAGGGUUGAGCAUACCUGGUUCUCUUAUACCAUGUAUCAUUCGAGAUUAGGUCAAUCGAUCCUGUUUUACAUACAUACUUACACCAGUCUGUGAUGUGGGUAUAACCACUUGUAAUCAGGACUUGUAGACACUGGCAGUGAUAGGUAUGCUCGCAAUAGUCCGCGGCUCCGGGCGCGUGGGCGCGUGGUCCGUGUGGUGACGUGGUGUGGUGUUGCGCAGGCGCGCCGGUGGAGCGCGUGGGCCGCUACCGCCAGCUGUCGCCCGAGCACGCGCCGCACACGUGAAUCUACAUACUUGUGAUGGUGACGUGGUGGCGUGCACCCCCGCUUUGCUCCACCGGGGCCCUUAACUCACGGCCAUAUACUAGCGACACUUCGACACAAACAGACAGAAAUCCCCAAAAAGCCAUGUAUAUAAAAUUGGUUGAGGUACUAUGGAGGGAAGGCGUUAGAAAACGUUCCCCAAUCCUGAAUUUUCGUUAUUUUCUUAACUUUGAACUAUUGAAAAGAAAAAAGCGAGAAUUCUUCUUCAUUUUGAAUUUGCUGAUUUGGAACGCAUUCUUGAAACUAACAACUGACUCAUUGUAAAUGUUUGCAUGAAUUGUGAAUAUGUCAUCAUAACAUGCUCCCUUGCUUUUCAGUGAUCUAUCGGCUGCAUAUUUCGAAAUAACUUACCUUACACACUAUAUUUAAUUUACACUUUCCAAUUAGAGAAUACUUGAAAAUUUUACUGAGUUUUAUGAUCUUAGUAAUAGAGGGGUUAAAUUCGUCGUUUCAUUGCUAUCCGUUGGCGUUUUCUAGCGACGAUUUUCAAUGAUAGCAUUGAAUGUCAAACAGGUUUCGUUCGAGUAAUCUUAUUCGCUGGCGAUUUCUAUCGUAACCCGGUAUCAGGUAUUUAUUUGUG